UUUCCGUAGGUGAACCUGCGGAAGGAUCAUUAUCGUACAAAAUGUGAUUGGCAUUCUAGGGCUGGCGCUGACCCUGACGUCGUUCACGCCCGUGUGUGUCCUCUUGCGUAAUAAUGCGUCUCACCCUAAGUCCAUCACCGCGGGGGAACCCUUCCUGACAACCUCGGAAGUGUGCUCGCGUUGUCACACGAACGCCCCUUUUAAAAGUGUAGGAUUACCACAUUUAUGCAAUCAAUACAACUUUCAACAACGGAUCUCUAGGCUCUCGCAUCGAUGAAA
rnacentral:misc_RNA from 1 species